GGCGUUCUUACAUGACCCGUAUUUGCCUUCUGUCCUUUUGCAUUCGAGGUUUCCAACGGUUGCAUCAGCAAGAUCCUCACCCGCUAUUACCGGACAGGGGCUGUCCAGCCCAGGGCGGUGGGAGGGAGCCGGCCACGCAUGGCCACGCCACAGACCGUGGCCAAGAUUGCUCGGAUGAAGCAGGAGCAGCCAUCCAUCUUUGCCUGGGAGAUCAGAGAGAAACUGCAAGCGGAGAGCAGCGGUGGCAGCAGCUGCCAUUUGCCCAGCGUCUCCUCCAUCAACCGCAUUCUCAGAAGCUCACAGAUGGGCUCCCAAGCGCUGGAUCAGUGCCCUGCACCCAUUCAACCUCUGCAAUCAGGCCUUCCUUCGCCAGGGAAAAAGAGCCCCAGAGGCUCUGCAGGGGCAGCAGACGCGCCCCCAUCUCCCCAGGGGACUCCGGAGGCACUCAGGCCGUCCGCAUCACCCAGCAAGCACCCCAACAGGCACAGGACCAUCUUUUCAAAGCAACAGCUUGAGCUCCUGGAACGAGCUUUCCAGAGAGAGCCGUAUCCAGGAAGAGCCACUCGGAAGAAGCUGAC
rnacentral:lncRNA from 1 species